AUUGAACGCUGGCGGCAGGCCUAACACAUGCAAGUCGAACGAGUGGCGGACGGGUGAGUAAUGUCUGGGAAACUGCCUGAUGGAGGGGGAUAACUACUGGAAACGGUAGCUAAUACCGCAUACCAUCAGAUGUGCCCAGAUGGGAUUAGCUAGUUGGUGGGGUAACGGCUCACCAAGGCGACGAUCCCUAGCUGGUCUGAGAGGAUGACCAGCCACACUGGAACUGAGACACGGUCCAGACUCCUACGGGAGGAAGGAGGGGGGAAUAUUGCAAAAGGGGCGAAAGCCUGAUGCAGCCAUGCCGGGUGUAUGAAGAAGGCCUGCGGGUUGUAAAGUACUUUCAGCGGGGAGGCGUAACCCGCAGAAGAAGCACCGGCUAACUCCGUGCCAGCAGCCGCGGUAUAC
rnacentral:rRNA from 1 species